CUCAUUAUGGAAGCUGCUCUUUCAUCCUCUGGUUCAAAGCGCGGCCCGGCCGUCGGCGGUGGGCGAGCAGACACAGACUAAUGCUAGACGGAAGGAGAGCAGGAAGGGGAAGCACAGAAGAUCAGGGAUGGACGUUGGGAUACAGUGGAGGGAGAGACGAGAAGGGGAAUGUGAGGACAGAAGAGGAUGGACCCCAGAGGGCCGGAGCUAAACGGCAGGCAGAGACAGGUGGCCUCGUUGGGAAAACAAAGGUGCAUUGAGAACCGCUGACACUAGAGGGCGCUGUUGUUACUGCUCCAUCUUUAACCAAGCAAGGUCAACGUAUGCAAAAAUGAGAGAAGACAGCGGCACAGCCUGAAAGCUGCUACUGGUGGGGAUAAUCAUGGCUGGGUCCUGUAACAAUGGCAGUAUGUACAUGAAAAAAAGAUCCUUAUGUUUGGAGAAUGUCAUUUAUUUUAAUUUUUAGAAAUUCAUACCUGUUUGGCUGAUUUUUGUGACUGUACUGACGGUACUGACACCAAAAAUAAUAAAGAUUGACAUUUUCUCAUUUCA